UAGGGAAUCUUCCACAAUGGACGCAAGUCUGAUGGAGCAACGCCGCGUGAGUGAAGAAGGUUUUCGGACCGUAAAGCUCUGUUGUUGGUGAAGAAGGAUAGAGGUAGUAACUGGCCUUUAUUUGACGGUAAUCAACCAGAAAGUCACGGCUAACUACGUGCCAGCAGCCGCGGUAAUACGUAGGUGGCAAGCGUUGUCCGGAUUUAUUGGGCGUAAAGCGAGCGCAGGCGGAAGAAUAGGUCUGAUGUGAAAGCCCUCGGCUUAACCGAGGAAUUGCAUCGGAAACUGUUUUCUUGAGUGCAGAAGAGGAGAGUAGAACUCCAUGUGUAGCGGUGGAAUGCGUAGAUAUAUGGAAGAAUACCAGUGGCGAAGGCGGCUCUCUGGUCUGCAACUGACGCUGAGGCUCGAAAGCAUGGGUAGCGAACAGGAUUAGAUACCCUGGUAGUCCAUGCCGUAAACGAUGAGUGCUAAGUGUUGGGAGGCUUCCGCCUCUCAGUGCUGCAGCUAACGCAUUAAGCACUCCGCCUGGGGGAGUACGACCGCAAGGUUGAAAC
rnacentral:rRNA from 1 species